GACGAACGCUGGCGGCGUGCCUAAUACAUGCAAGUAGAACGCUGAAGGAGGAGCUUGCUUCUCUGGAUGAGUUGCGAACGGGUGAGUAACGCGUAGGUAACCUGCCUGGUAGCGGGGGAUAACUAUUGGAAACGAUAGCUAAUACCGCAUAAGAGUAGAUGUUGCAUGACAUUUGCUUAAAAGGUGCAAAUGCAUCACUACCAGAUGGACCUGCGUUGUAUUAGCUAGUUGGUGGGGUAACGGCUCACCAAGGCGACGAUACAUAGCCGACCUGAGAGGGUGAUCGGCCACACUGGGACUGAGACACGGCCCAGACUCCUACGGGAGGCAGCAGUAGGGAAUCUUCGGCAAUGGACGGAAGUCUGACCGAGCAACGCCGCGUGAGUGAAGAAGGUUUUCGGAUCGUAAAGCUCUGUUGUAAGAGAGGAACGAGUGUGAGAGUGGAAAGUUCACACUGUGACGGUAUCUUACCAGAAAGGGACGGCUAACUACGUGCCAGCAGCCGCGGUAAUACGUAGGUCCCGAGCGUUGUCCGGAUUUAUUGGGCGUAAAGCGAGCGCAGGCGGUUAGAUAAGUCUGAAGUUAAAGGCUGUGGCUUAACCAUAGUAGGCUUUGGAAACUGUUUAACUUGAGUGCAAGAGGGGAGAGUGGAAUUCCAUGUGUAGCGGUGAAAUGCGUAGAUAUAUGGAGGAACACCGGUGGCGAAAGCGGGCUCUCUGGCUUGUAACUGACGCUCAGGCUCGAAACGUGGGGAGCAAACAGGAUUUAGAUACUCUGGUAGUCCAGGGGCGAAUUCCACACUGGAUAUCAAGCUUAUCGAUACCGUCGACCUUCGGGGGGGGGAAAAGAAAACAAUACUUUUUUUCUCUCUUAGUGAGGCUCAUUUAU
rnacentral:rRNA from 1 species